UUAAGCCCAUCUCUGAGUGCAACGUUGGGCGUUUUGAGUAGCAAUGAGGAAGGCCGGCCUUGUCCUUUGUCUCCUGUGCCUUCUCUCCUUGCUGAUUUCUCCAGGAGUCACAGAUGAUGAUGAUGACACUUGUGAGGAUUGCCACAAAGAAUCCCCUCCAGGACCGUGCUAUAUACAAAACUGCCCCCGAGGAGGAAAGAGAUCAACCGAGAAUGAUGAUGAAGCUCGGUUGGAAGCUGCUAGAAGUUCCAUCUAGCAGAUGGAACCUGCCAUUGAUCUAAGAAGAAGGACACUUUCAAGCAGUUUAUAAGCAAUCUCUACAGAGCAUAAAAUGUUUGCUUAAUGUUUCCUUAUUAGCGUAAUUAAAAGUUUUGGCUUUAGACAGAAA